GACAAACGCUGGCGGCAUGCCUAACACAUGCAAGUCGAACGGACAGAACAGGGAAGCUUUUCGGAGUGGAACUGGAAAGUUAGUGGCGGAGGGGUGAGUAACGCGUGGACAACCUACCUUGUAAAGGGGAAUAACCUCGAGAAAUCGAAGCUAAUACCCCAUAAUAACCUUGCUUCGCAUGAAGUAAGGAGGAAAGGCGGCCUUAGCGCUGUCGAUACAAGAUGGGUCCGCGUCUGAUUAGCUAGUUGGUGAGGUAAAGGCUCACCAAGGCGACGAUCAGUAGCCGGCCUGAGAGGGUGAACGGCCACAUUGGGACUGAGACACGGCCCAAACUCCUACGGGAGGCAGCAGUGGGGAAUCUUCCGCAAUGGGCGAAAGCCUGACGGAGCAAUGCCGCGUGAGUGAAGAAGGCCUUCGGGUUGUAAAACUCUGUCCUUAUCGAAGAGAGAGUGUUGUAGUAACUGACAAUACUAGGACGGUAGAUGAGGAGGAAGCCCCGGCUAACUAUGUG
rnacentral:rRNA from 1 species